AUUUAUCUGCGUUAGUGGUUGAAGUGAAAAUCCUUUUUUUUGUUUUUUUUCAAAAAAAAGAUUGUAACGGAAAACACGACCCGCC
rnacentral:sRNA from 1 species